UCNGGCUACCAUGCAAGUCGAGGGGCAGCAUUUCAGUUUGCUUGCAAACUGGAGAUGGCGACCGGCGCACGGGUGAGUAACACGCUAUCCNACCUGCCGAUAACUCGGGGAUAGCCUUUCGAAAGAAAGAUUAAUACCCGAUGGUAUAAUCAGACCGCAUGGUCUUGUUAUUAAAGAAUUUCGGUUAUCGAUGGGGAUGCGUUCCAUUAGGCAGUUGGUGAGGUAACGGCUCACCAAACCUUCGAUGGAUAGGGGUUCUGAGAGGAAGGUCCCCCACAUUGGAACUGAGACACGGUCCAAACUCCUACGGGAGGCAGCAGUGAGGAAUAUUGGUCAAUGGGCGCAGGCCUGAACCAGCCAAGUAGCGUGAAGGAUGACUGCCCUAUGGGUUGUAAACUUCUUUUAUAUGGGAAUAAAGUUUUCCACGUGUGGAAUUUUGUAUGUACCAUAUGAAUAAGGAUCGGCUAACUCCGUGCCAGCAGCCGCGGUAAUACGGAGGAUCCGAGCGUUAUCCGGAUUUAUUGGGUUUAAAGGGAGCGUAGGUGGACAGUUAAGUCAGUUGUGAAAGUUUGCGGCUCAACCGUAAAAUUGCAGUUGAUACUGGCUGUCUUGAGUACAGUAGAGGUGGGCGGAAUUCGUGGUGUAGCGGUGAAAUGCUUAGAUAUCACGAAGAACUCCGAUUGCGAAGGCAGCUCACUGGACUGCAACUGACACUGAUGCUCGAAAGUGUGGGUAUCAAACAGGAUUAGAUACCCUGGUAGUCCACACAGUAAACGAUGAAUACUCGCUGUUUGCGAUAUACAGUAAGCGGCCAAGCGAAAGCAUUAAGUAUUCCACCUGGGGAGUACGCCGGCAACGGUGAAACUCAAAGGAAUUGACGGGGGCCCGCACAAGCGGAGGAACAUGUGGUUUAAUUCGAUGAUACGCGAGGAACCUUACCCGGGCUUAAAUUGCAUUUGAAUAUAUUGGAAACAGUAUAGCCGUAAGGCAAAUGUGAAGGUGCUGCAUGGUUGUCGUCAGCUCGUGCCGUGAGGUGUCGGCUUAAGUGCCAUAACGAGCGCAACCCUUAUCUUUAGUUACUAACAGGUCAUGCUGAGGACUCUAGAGAGACUGCCGUCGUAAGAUGUGAGGAAGGUGGGGAUGACGUCAAAUCAGCACGGCCCUUACGUCCGGGGCUACACACGUGUUACAAUGGGGGGUACAGAAGGCAGCUACCUGGUGACAGGAUGCUAAUCCCAAAAGCCUCUCUCAGUUCGGAUCGAAGUCUGCAACCCGACUUCGUGAAGCUGGAUUCGCUAGUAAUCGCGCAUCAGCCAUGGCGCGGUGAAUACGUUCCCGGGCCUUGUACACACCGCCCGUCAAGCCAUGAAAGCCGGGGGUACCUGAAGUACGAACCGCAAGGAGCUCCUAG
rnacentral:rRNA from 1 species